UACGUAGGCAGCGAGCGUUGUUCGGAGUUACUGGGCGUAAAGGGUGUGUAGGCGGUUGUUUAAGUUUGGUGUGAAAUCUCCCGGCUCAACUGGGAGGGUGCGCCGAAUACUGAAUGACUCGAGUGCGGGAGAGGAGAGUGGAAUUCCUGGUGUAGCGGUGAAAUGCGUAGAUAUCAGGAGGAACACCGGCGGUGUAGACGGCUCUCUGGACCGUAACUGACGCUGAGACACGAAAGCAUGGGUAGCAAACAGG
rnacentral:rRNA from 1 species